rnacentral:rRNA from 1 species
CAGCCGCCACGGUAACACGUAGGGUGCGAGCGUUAAUCGGAAUUACUGGGCGUAAAGCGUGCGCAGGCGGUUUGUUAAGACAGAUGUGAAAUCCCCGGGCUCAACCUGGGAACUGCAUUUGUGACUGGCAAGCUAGAGUGUGGCAGAGGGGGGUGGAAUUCCGCGUGUAGCAGUGAAAUGCGUAGAUAUGCGGAGGAACACCGAUGGCGAAGGCAGCCCCCUGGGCCAACACUGACGCUCAUGCACGAAAGCGUGGGGAGCAAACAGGAUUAGAUACCCCUGUAGUCCCUGUCUCUUAUAC